rnacentral:rRNA from 1 species
GACGAACGCUGGCGGCGUGCUUAACACAUGCAAGUCGAACGGAAAGGCCCCUUUGGGGGUACUCGAGUGGCGAACGGGUGAGUAACACGUGAGUAACCUGCCCUUGACUUCGGGAUAACUUCAGGAAACUGGGGCUAAUACCGGAUAGGAAUCCUUGCUGCAUGGGGGGGGUUGGAAAGCUUCGGCGGUUUUGGAUGGACUCGCGGCUUAUCAGCUUGUUGGUGGGGUAGUGGCUUACCAAGGCUUUGACGGGUAGCCGGCCUGAGAGGGCGACCGGCCACAUUGGGACUGAGAUACGGCCCAGACUCCUACGGGAGGCAGCAGUGGGGAAUAUUGAACAAUGGGCGGAAGCCUGAUGCAGCAACGCCGCGUGCGGGAUGACGGCCUUCGGGUUGUAAACCGCUUUCAGCAGGGGCGAAGCUUGUGGUGACGGUACCUGCAGAAGAAGCACCGGCUAACUACGUG